UUUUUAAAUGUUCACAAUUUUAUUUUGAUAAAUGAAAAAUUGGGAAAAUCAUAUCACAGCUGUGGGCUAAAAUUGCUGUGCCCGUUCAUCUGUGGCUAUUGACUAUAGUCGAUCCUGGUCCCGAAGUGGUUAAAAAGUAAAAGUCCAUUUUCUACUUGCUUUUCAGAGCAUUAUGGUCAGGCAUAUUUUUAAUAAUAUACCUCCUGUGUCUUCAGGGGAAUAGGUUCAAACAUAGGUGCUUUCACUUAGGAUUGAACUUGGAAUCAAAAAAAAAAAGAAAAAAAUGUGUUUUUUCUUUUCUUUUUAAAUGCCUGUUAACCAGGCAUCACUUAAGACAUGCCUGGGGUUAAUAGCUUUGAAUGCUGUUCAGUUUGGCCUGCUGAUUUGAUGAGGCCAGUCACCACUCUUAAGUUUAUAUUUUCCCUUCUCUGUUAAAUGAGUGUAAUCCACGUCAUCUUUAGCUUCAACAAAGCAUGGAAAGCUCUGUCUCUGUGUGAGUUUUUAGUGUUCAUUUUUUUAUGAUUUUGUUUAGGUGGUGGGUUAUAUGAUACCAUUUGAAAAAUGGUAUUAUUAUUCUGUUUGGGAAGCAAGCAAACAUCAAUUCAAAUAUUAUUAUUUUUACUUUUACUCUGUAAACUAAAGCCUUGUCUUUUGUAUCCUUAUAAGAGCAACCACUCAUUAUCUGUUUAAAAUGACUGCUUAUCCAUUAUAACAGUAAGCACGUCUUCCUAUGGUUUCCCUCCUGUACUUUUUGAACUGGCACACCUGAUCUCUAUUCAUCCUUACAUAAUAGUCCACUAGACAGAGCCUUUGAGUAAAGAUAUGCUAAUUCACAAAGGGAGAUCAUAAAUAGGGAGAAACUUCAAGAUCCUCUCUAAUAUGAUCAUUCUGUAUACAACAAAUAUUGAAGUCAUUGGCAUUAUCUGGUCUGAUGAAAACUACACAACUCAUUAGAAAUAACCAGAAAUAGAAUCUAAGUCUUCUGACUUGAAUCUUGAAUCCUUCUCUAGUCUAAGAUACUUCCAUUUGGAAAGAAUUUAGAUAUGCUUUUUAAAGUAAAUGGUUUGUAAUAAAACACUAGUGAUUUUAUCUUGCCAGUUAUCUCUUUUUAGAACAACAAUAAUAAUAUCUUCCUUUGAUUAAUCACUAGAUUUCUUUUCCAAAAGGAGUCUCUUAGAGUAGGUAUAUUUUCAUUGAAUAUACAUUUUUUCUUUUAGACUACAGGAUAUAUAAUCACUAUUAGCUUCAUAUGUGAAAAUUAUGGUAUUCAUGUCUAUAAGUAAACACAUACCCAGGAUCCAAAUCUUCAAUGUAAGAUAAUUAGAUUUUCUAUAUGUUGUUUUAUGAGAGACAAAAUAAACAUAUUAGUAUCAAAAACAAAUCACUCAAAUCAACUUUUAGGGUUGUCAAAGGGUCAGUUUAGACUCUACAACAUGCCUUCCCCUGGUUUCCACAUGAAUCCUGGCUCUGGUGAUUCAUGUUCCUAAUGGGAUCUAAGGACCUGUAAGGUCCCAAAUUGCCCUCUGAAUUAUCAAAGAAAUCUUGCUGUUUAAAAACAGAUGUACAUCUGUCCUUAUUCCACCAAGGAUUUGAAUUGGCUGGUUCACUUUUUUUUAGGAAGAAGCAUAUUUUUCCUGGUUUUUCUUUUUAAAUAGCGGUCAUCUGUAUAUGAAAUAUAGUGAAUCAGUUAUUCAAAGAACUAUUUUAUCCAGGAUAUUCCUGCCUAUAAUCUCUCUGAGUAAAAGGAGCCAACAGGAGCUCUGUGGAUGCUACCAAACAGCAUAGAGUUCUGCCUUGAUGGAAUUAUAGCAGUGUUUGGUACUAUAAAUUGUUCUAUAUAUCUUCCCCUAUAAUCAUGCACUGCACAGAGUCACCCCUCUAGCACUGGAAAAAUGUCAGGGAAACAAAGCCUGCAUAUAUACAUUGACUCUUUAUUCAUGGUCACCCCAUUUUUAUUUGCAGUUCAGUUUUGGUUGUGUUAUUUUAGAAUAAUGCAGUGCCUUUUUAUCCUUCCUGCAUGAUUACCAACUACCAUUUUUAUUUUCAUCUUCCUUUGUACUUUAUCUCUCCGAGCAUACUGUUGUUUAACAGUUGCUUUGUGUAAGAUACGAGCCUUACAUGCCAACUUUGAUGUGGCAGAAUGAAUCAUGUUACUGUUGAUCUCACCCUGAACAGAAUAGCCAUCUUCAAAUAGGAAGAAGUUUCUAGCUUCAGGUUGUUUUAGCCCUGCAUGCCUUGCCUAGCCUGCCGUGUAAAGUCAGUUGCUUCACUCCAAACAGCACUGUAUUAAUAUGCACAACAUGACCAUUUUCAGUAGAAGGUUAUUAGAAUGCUAGUUUGUAUCCUCUAGUGAAUGAAAUGAUGUGUGAUUAUGAAGUCAUCAGGCAUGGACCAGUAAGACUCCAGAGAGCCUGCCCCCUCCAAGGUCCUCGGGGUGCCAUUGAUUGGUGGCCAUGUGUUUGUGCCCGAUAGACUGUGAAAUGGUGUGUUGCUACACGGCUGUGUUGCACCUGCGCCCCACCGAGCCCAGUGGAUCAUCGUCAAGAGAUUGGGAGCUUACUGUAAUUGAAAAUCACUUGCUUAGGGAAAAAAAAAUCUAAUUAUAAAAUGUACAGUUUGAGUGUUUGUUUUUUUUUUUAAUAACUCUGCACCCCCACGUUCCUCCUCCUUUUCCUGUACUGUUUCCUGUUUUUGUCAUGGAUAUUAACUGAAAUGCACUAAACACAAUAAAGCUGUUUAUGUCA